UUCAACGGUGAUGAAUCAUACGAGGGUUACUGUACUAUAAUUUUCAGGUUGAUAUAUAUUCCUUGUCAAGAAAGUGGAAGGAGCUGGUGGAUAAGGCCCGUGCUAAACAGUUACAACCUCAUGAGUACAACACAGGUACCUUUACGCUGUCAAACCUUGGGAUGUUUGGUGUGGAUCGAUUCGAUGCCAUUUUCCCUCCUGGAACUGGAGCAAUCAUGGCA